UACGUAGGGUGCAAGCGUUGUCCGGAAUUAUUGGGCGUAAAGAGCUCGUAGGCGGUUUGUUGCGUCGGCUGUGAAAUCCCGAGGCUCAACCUCGGGUCUGCAGUCGAUACGAGCAAACUAGAGUGUUGCAGGGGAGACUGGAAUUCCUGGUGUAGCGGUGAAAUGCGUAGAGAUCGGAAGGAACGCCGGUGGCGAAAGCGGCGGACUGGGCACCUCCUGACGCUGAGGCGCGAAAGCCAGGGGAGCAAACGGG
rnacentral:rRNA from 1 species